AUGUUCGAUUCGGUGGUUCCCCUCCGUGGAGAGGUAAAAUCACACCCAAAUUCCACCCUAUUUUCGUCGGCGGUGACACUUGACCCAUGUUGGCGUUGGUGGCGACGACCGGGUCACGAUGGCGUCGGUGGAGAAGAUCGGAUUCAUGGUGGCGUUGGUGGAGAAGAUCGGAUUCAUGAUGGUGCUGGUGGCAGCGAUUAUUCGGGAGCAGACCAGCAAGGAGGAUCUGUGCAACAUCGGCGGCGGCAGGAUCUGAACGGAGGGUCUGAUUACCGGUACAGCGGCAAUGAAAUUCUUGAUUAG
rnacentral:rRNA from 1 species